GACGAACGCUGGCGGCGUGCCUAAUACAUGCAAGUUGAGCGAUGAAGAUUGGUGCUUGCACCAAUUUGAAGAGCAGCGAACGGGUGAGUAACGCGUGGGGAAUCUGCCUUUGAGCGGGGGACAACAUUUGGAAACGAAUGCUAAUACCGCAUAACAACUUUAAACAUAAGUUUUAAGUUUGAAAGAUGCAAUUGCAUCACUCAAAGAUGAUCCCGCGUUGUAUUAGCUAGUUGGUGAGGUAAAGGCUCACCAAGGCGAUGAUACAUAGCCGACCUGAGAGGGUGAUCGGCCACAUUGGGACUGAGACACGGCCCAAACUCCUACGGGAGGCAGCAGUAGGGAAUCUUCGGCAAUGGACGCAAGUCUGACCGAGCAACGCCGCGUGAGUGAAGAAGGUUUUCGGAUCGUAAAACUCUGUUGGUAGAGAAGAACGUUGGUGAGAGUGGAAAGCUCAUCAAGUGACGGUAACUACCCAGAAAGGGACGGCUAACUACGUG
rnacentral:rRNA from 1 species